UUCCUCCUCAACAUCAUGAAGGGCAGCAUCUGUUUCUGGGACAUAUCCUUCCUCUUUCAUCUUGCCUAUUAAUAUGUCCAACUCUUCAUAGAUCUUCUUUGAUUGGGGGUGAGAUGUAUCACCAGCGAGGAAGGUGUGCACCAUGUUAUUGAGCUCAAUAUUGCUGAUACCGGGCAUUUUCUUAAUCCCUCUACCCUCAACUCUUCAUAGAUCUUCUUUGAUUGUGGGUGAGAUGUAUCACCAGCGAGGAAGGUGUGCACCAUGUUAUUGAGCUCAAUAUUGCUGAUACCGGGCAUUUUCUUAAUCCCUCUUCCCUUCAUGAUUGACCUAACAGUUGUUACAUCUUCCCAUCUUCCAGCCUUCGCAUAAAUAUUU
rnacentral:lncRNA from 1 species